rfam:Ipomoea nil DNA, scaffold: scaffold2607, cultivar: Tokyo-kokei standard.
AAUUGAUGGUGUGGACAUUGUGUCAAAAGCAAUUUAAAACGAUCCCAUGCUUCAUGAAAUAAUUCACCCUCUCUUUGAGUGAAAGUGCAUAUCCUACUCCUAUAGUC